rnacentral:rRNA from 1 species
UACGUAGGGUGCGAGCGUUAAUCGGAAUUACUGGGCGUAAAACGUGCGCAGGCGGUGAGCUGUGUCCGAUGUGAAAGCCCCGGGCUUAACCUGGGAAUGGCAUUGGAAACUGGCUCGCUGGAGUGUGGCAGAGGGGGGUGGAAUUCCGCGUGUAGCAGUGAAAUGCGUAGAGAUGCGGAGGAACACCGAUGGCGAAGGCAGCCCCCUGGGCUAACACUGACGCUCGAGGCACGAAAGCGUGGGGAGCAAACAGG